CACGUAGGCGGCGUCGUAAGUUGGACGUGAAAGCUCUCGGCUCAACUGAGAGAGGUCGUUCAAUACUGCGGUGCUCGAGGUUGGAAGAGGAGAGUGGAAUUCCCGGUGUAGUGGUGGAAUGCGUAGAUAUCGGGAGGAACACCAGUGGCGAAGGCGGCUCUCUGGUCCACACCUGACGCUGAGGUGCGAAAGCGUGGGGAGCGAACG
rnacentral:rRNA from 1 species